rnacentral:rRNA from 1 species
GAUGAACGCUGGCGGCGUGCUUAACACAUGCAAGUCGAACGGUGAAGGCGGAGCUUGCUCUGCUGGAUCAGUGGCGAACGGGUGAGUAACACGUGAGCAAUCUGCCCCUGACUCUGGGAUAAGCGCUGGAAACGGCGUCUAAUACUGGAUACGAGCUGCGAAGGCAUCUUCAGCAGCUGGAAAGAACUUCGGUCAGGGAUGAGCUCGCGGCCUAUCAGCUUGUUGGUGAGGUAACGGCUCACCAAGGCGUCGACGGGUAGCCGGCCUGAGAGGGUGACCGGCCACACUGGGACUGAGACACGGCCCAGACUCCUACGGGAGGCAGCAGUGGGGAAUAUUGCGCAAUGGGCGAAAGCCUGAUGCAGCAACGCCGCGUGAGGGACGACGGCCUUCGGGUUGUAAACCUCUUUUAGCAGGGAAGAAGCGAAAGUGACGGUACCUGCAGAAAAAGCGCCGGCUAACUACGUG